rfam:Serratia sp. ATCC 39006 ctg2, whole genome shotgun sequence.
GGUUAAGCGACUAAGCGUACACGGUGGAUGCCUAGGCAGUCAGAGGCGAUGAAGGGCGUGCUAAUCUGCGAAAAGCGUCGGCAAGGUGAUAUGAACCGUUAUACCCGACGAUACCCGAAUGGGGAAACCCAGUGUGUUUCGACACACUAUCAUGUCAUGAAUCCAUAGUGACAUGAGGCGAACCGGGGGAACUGAAACAUCUCAGUACCCCGAGGAAAAGAAAUCAACCGAGAUUCCCCCAGUAGCGGCGAGCGAACGGGGAAGAGCCCAGAACCAGAAUCAGUUUGUGCAUCAGUGGAAGCGUCUGGAAAGUCGCACGGUACAGGGUGAUAGUCCCGUACACAAAGAUGCGCUUGCUGUGAGUUCGACGAGUAGGGCGGGACACGAGAUAUCCUGUCUGAAGAUGGGGGGACCAUCCUCCAAGGCUAAAUACUCCUGACUGACCGAUAGUGAACCAGUACCGUGAGGGAAAGGCGAAAAGAACCCCGGCGAGGGGAGUGAAACAGAACCUGAAACCGUGUACGUACAAGCAGUGGGAGCCUUGAUUAAUCGGGGUGACUGCGUACCUUUUGUAUAAUGGGUCAGCGACUUAUAUUUUGUAGCAAGGUUAACCGAAUAGGGGAGCCGCAGGGAAACCGAGUCUUAACUGGGCGUCAAGUUGCAAGGUAUAGACCCGAAACCCGGUGAUCUAGCCAUGGGCAGGUUGAAGGUUGGGUAACACUAACUGGAGGACCGAACCGACUAAUGUUGAAAAAUUAGCGGAUGACUUGUGGCUGGGGGUGAAAGGCCAAUCAAACCGGGAGAUAGCUGGUUCUCCCCGAAAGCUAUUUAGGUAGCGCCUCGUGAAGUCAUCUUCGGGGGUAGAGCACUGUUUCGACUAGGGGGCCAUCCCGGCUUACCAACUCGAUGCAAACUGCGAAUACCGAAGAAUGUUAUCACGGGAGACACACGGCGGGUGCUAACGUCCGUCGUGAAGAGGGAAACAACCCAGACCGCCAGCUAAGGUCCCAAAGUCAUGGUUAAGUGGGAAACGAUGUGGGAAGGCCCAGACAGCCAGGAUGUUGGCUUAGAAGCAGCCAUCAUUUAAAGAAAGCGUAAUAGCUCACUGGUCGAGUCGGCCUGCGCGGAAGAUGUAACGGGGCUAAACCAUGCACCGAAGCUGCGGCAGCGACGCUUAGGCGUUGUUGGGUAGGGGAGCGUUCUGUAAGCCGUUGAAGGUGGUCUGUGAGGAUUGCUGGAGGUAUCAGAAGUGCGAAUGCUGACAUAAGUAACGAUAAUGCGGGUGAAAAACCCGCACGCCGGAAGACCAAGGGUUCCUGUCCAACGUUAAUCGGGGCAGGGUGAGUCGACCCCUAAGGCGAGGCCGAAAGGCGUAGUCGAUGGGAAACAGGUUAAUAUUCCUGUACUGGGUGUUACUGCGAAGGGGGGACGGAGAAGGCUAUGUUGGCCGGGCGACGGUUGUCCCGGUUUAAGCGUGUAGGUGGGUGCUCCAGGCAAAUCCGGAGCGCUAUUAACGCCGAGGCGUGAUGACGAGGCACUACGGUGUCGAAGUGACAAAUGCCACGCUUCCAGGAAAAGCCCCUAAGCAUCAGGUAACAUCGAAUCGUACCCCAAACCGACACAGGUGGUCAGGUAGAGAAUACUCAGGCGCUUGAGAGAACUCGGGUGAAGGAACUAGGCAAAAUGGUGCCGUAACUUCGGGAGAAGGCACGCUGUGCGAGGUGAAGUCCCUGGCGGAUGGAGCGUUGCGCAGUCGCAGAUACCAGCUGGCUGCAACUGUUUACUAAAAACACAGCACUGUGCAAACACGAAAGUGGACGUAUACGGUGUGACGCCUGCCCGGUGCCGGAAGGUUAAUUGAUGGGGUAAGCCGCAAGGCGAAGCUCUUGAUCGAAGCCCCGGUAAACGGCGGCCGUAACUAUAACGGUCCUAAGGUAGCGAAAUUCCUUGUCGGGUAAGUUCCGACCUGCACGAAUGGCGUAAUGAUGGCCAGGCUGUCUCCACCCGAGACUCAGUGAAAUUGAACUCGCUGUGAAGAUGCAGUGUACCCGCGGCAAGACGGAAAGACCCCGUGAACCUUUACUAUAGCUUGACACUGAACCUUGAGCCUUGAUGUGUAGGAUAGGUGGGAGGCUUUGAAGCGUGGACGCCAGUCUGCGUGGAGCCAACCUUGAAAUACCACCCUUUGAUGUUUGAUGUUCUAACGUGGGCCCGUGAACCGGGUUGCGGACAGUGUCUGGUGGGUAGUUUGACUGGGGCGGUCUCCUCCCAAAGAGUAACGGAGGAGUACGAAGGUUAGCUAAUCCUGGUCGGACAUCAGGAGGUUAGUGCAAAGGCAUAAGCUAGCUUGACUGCGAGAGUGACGGCUCGAGCAGGUGCGAAAGCAGGUCUUAGUGAUCCGGUGGUUCUGAAUGGAAGGGCCAUCGCUCAACGGAUAAAAGGUACUCCGGGGAUAACAGGCUGAUACCGCCCAAGAGUUCAUAUCGACGGCGGUGUUUGGCACCUCGAUGUCGGCUCAUCACAUCCUGGGGCUGAAGUAGGUCCCAAGGGUAUGGCUGUUCGCCAUUUAAAGUGGUACGCGAGCUGGGUUUAGAACGUCGUGAGACAGUUCGGUCCCUAUCUGCCGUGGGCGUUGGAAGAUUGAGGGGGGUUGCUCCUAGUACGAGAGGACCGGAGUGAACGCACCACUGGUGUACGGGUUGUGAUGCCAAUUGCAUUGCCCGGUAGCUACGUGCGGAAGAGAUAACCGCUGAAAGCAUCUAAGCGGGAAACUUGCCCCGAGAUGAGUCUUCCCUGGGCCUUAAAGGCCCCUGAAGGGACGUUUAAGACGAAGACGUUGAUAGGCUGGGUGUGUAAGCGCAGCGAUGCGUUGAGCUGACCAGUACUAAUGACCCGAGAGGCUUAACCUU